rnacentral:rRNA from 1 species
AACGAACGCUGGCGGCAGGCUUAACACAUGCAAGUCGAGCGCCCCGCAAGGGGCGCGGCAGACGGGUGAGUAACGCGUGGGAAUCUACACAUCUCUACGGAAUAACGCAUGGAAACGUGUGCUAAUACCGUAUACGUCCUUCGGGAGAAAGAUUUAUCGGAGAUGGAUGAGCCCGAGUUGGAGUAGCUAGUUGGUGGGUAAAGGCCUAACAAGGCGACGAUCCAUAGCUGGUCUGAGGGGAUGAUCAGCCACACUGGGACUGAGACACGGCCCAGACGCCUACGGGAGGCAGCAGUUGGGAAUAUUGGACAAUAGGCGCAAGCUUGUUCCAGCCAUGCCGCGUGAGUGAUGAAGGCCCUAGGGUUGUAAAACUCUUUCACCGGUGAAGAUAAUGACGGUAACCGGAGAAGAAGCCCCGGCUAACUUCGUGCCAGCCGCCGCAGUAAUAC